AGACGCCGUGCCUUCGACCGGUUGGAUUCUCCCGCGGGAGGACCGUCUAGUGAAGAGAGUCCGUCCCGCCUCUGGCGAACAUGACGAAGACGGUCGCGCGCCCGAAACCUCCCACCACAUUGCACGCCACCACAGAGCCCCUUGCGUUGGCUGCGCUACGUGCUUGCUUCUUUUCCUUUGCGUUCUGCAUCGUGCGUGCCCGUUCUUCUUUGGCCUUGCACUGCCUCAGCGUCUCCGUAUCACGCGGUGACCGGCGUGCAUGGGUGUCCCAAGUUUCCUGCUCGCUGUACCUCGAGAAGCUCCUCGUUGCCCCUCUCCGUUUCCUCCGCGACUUUAGCCUUCUCUUCGUUAUCCCCCACGCACUGUGCUCAGCGCGGGCUUUGCGACCCACGCAUCCUCAUCACCUUUCGUUUCCCUCUGUCCCCUUCCCAUGCUGCGCUGCUGCCGCCGCGCUCUGGAGGGCAACAAACAGCUCUCGCCCGAGUACCUGGUCCGGUCCCUCAAGGAACACGGCACCAGCGCCUUCUUUGGGAUGCCAGACUACUACUUGUGCCCCCUCACCUCGUACCUGGCCGAUAACACGGCAGCGGGCGAGUACGUGAUGGCGACCAACUGCGGCAACGCCGUGGCGAUGGCGGCCGGCUACUACCUGUCCACCCUGCGCGUCCCAUGUGUGUUCAUGCAGAACAGCGGGAUUGGGGACUCAAUGAACCCCUUGCUGACCCUUUUCAAUCAGGAUGCCUACCGCAUGCCAUGCUUGAUGCUCAUUAGCUGGCGCGGCAAGCUCGACACCGCGGACGAGCAGGCGAAGCCGGGGCUGGUUGCACAGGGUCGACUGACGGAACACUGCUUGGCCGCCGUCGGCAUCCCGUACGCGAUCAUGGGCAACAGCCUCGAUGUUGCAAUGAACUGGGACGUGACAAUGGACAAGGCGUACCACCACUUGGACUCCGAGAAGACACCGUUCGCGGUGCUGCUGGAGCCCGGAACAAUCGCGCCAUACAUGCAGCGACGCCCAGAGGCGGACGCGCUUCCCACGGCGCCACUUGACCAUGACGCAGUCGCCAAUCAAGUGUGUCGCCAGUUCAAUGCAACGGACGCGUUUGUGUGCAGCUGCGGGAGCGUGCAGGAGUCUCUGCGCCGUGCGCGGGCGAUGGUUUCCGGCGACACAGCCGUGCAGGAUCUUCUGCUGGCAGACUCGCCGGGCCAUGCGACAGGCGUGGCGACGGGUAUUGCCUUGUCGCGGCCGUCGCUACAGGUUGUCUGCAUCGAGGGCGACGGGGCGGCCCUUGUGCACCUCAACGCGAUGGCGACGAACGGUGGCCUCAAAGCGAUGAAGGACGUCACCACCGGUGCCGGACUGCUGCAGAACUUCAAGCAUAUUGUGGUUAACGACGGCUGCUACUCGAUGGAGGGCGGCCAGAUGACGGCGGCCUUUGAUGCCUCACUGACGGGCGUGGCCAAGGCCUGCGGGUACUUCGCCGUGCGCGAGGAACCCGUGAUUGAGCUUGGCGACCUUGUCGCUGCUUUGACUGAGCUGCGUCAGUGCGACGGCCCAGCCUUUGUGGAGGUGGUGGUGAGCAAGACGAGGACCUCGCCUGCUGACGGGAAGGUACGCCGAAAUCUGCAGGCGGAGAAGCUUCGCUUUUCCGAAUUCUUGAAUCGGCUCAAUGCGUAACCAUGCGUGCGUGUGUGCGUGUGUCUGUC
rnacentral:misc_RNA from 1 species